AUGCAUUCUGCAGCAUUAGCUGAAAGAUGCAUGCACAGUGCAGUGUACACUAUUAGAGCCUACAAAGAACUGAUUAGCUGGGUUAGCUUAAUUGGAUGGAAUAACGCACAGUCGAUAAACCAGACAAUGGCACCUCAGAUCGUCCUUCAGGGAGACCCUGUAUUCAUGGAAUGUAUAUAUAAAGUCUCGGUCUCCCCUUAUCUUAUGUGGUAUGUCCAGUAUCCGGGUAAAGCUCCAGAAAUGCUGUUACAUUAUUCGACACAGAGUGCACACAAGGGAUUUUCAGCCAUCCAUGACAAGGCCAGAACAUCUUUCCACAUGAACAAAACCCAAGCUGUAUUGUCUGAUUCUGGCAUGUACUUCUGUGCUGUGAGUGACACAGUGCACUAA